rnacentral:rRNA from 1 species
UGAAGACCCUAUGGAGCUUUAGACACUAGCCAACUGUGAAUGAGCGACUGAACUAUACAAGUCUUAAAUACCCACAGCCUCUGGUAAUGUAGUCUUAGGUUGGGGCGACCACGGGAGAAAAUAAAGCUCCCAAGCAGACCGGGAAAACCCUUAAGCCCAGAGUUGCAACUCUAAGCCGCAAAAAUUUUGACUGAAAUGAUCCGGUUGAAAAACCGAUUAACGAACCAAGUUACCCUAGGGAUAACAGCGCAAUCCUCUCCCAGAGUCCCUAUCGACGAGGGGGUUUACGACCUCGAU